UACGUAGGGUGCAAGCGUUAAUCGGAAUUACUGGGCGUAAAGCGCGCGCAGGUGGUUUCUUAAGUCUGAUGUGAAAGCCCACGGCUCAACCGUGGAGGGUCAUUGGAAACUGGGAGACUUGAGUGCAGAAGAGGAAAGUGGAAUUCCAUGUGUAGCGGUGAAAUGCGUAGAGAUAUGGAGGAACACCAGUGGCGAAGGCGACACACUGGCCCAUUACUGACGCUGAGGCUCGAAAGCGUGGGGAGCAAACAGG
rnacentral:rRNA from 1 species